UACGUAGGGUGCGAGCGUUAAUCGGAAUUACUGGGCGUAAAGGGUGCGUAGGUGGCGCUGUAAGUCGGGUGUGAAAUUUCGGAGCUUAACUCCGAAACUGCAUUCGAUACUGCGGUGCUUGAGGACUGGAGAGGAGACUGGAAUUCAUGGUGUAGCAGUGAAAUGCGUAGAGAUCAUGAGGAAGACCAGUGGCGAAGGCGGGUCUCUGGACAGUUCCUGACACUGAGACGCGAAAGCGUGGGUAGCAAACAGG
rnacentral:rRNA from 1 species